UACGUAGGUGACAAGCGUUGUCCGGAAUUACUGGGCGUAAAGGGCGCGUAGGCGGCCUGUUAAGUCGAACGUGAAAUCCCCGGGCUCAACCCGGGAACUGCGUCCGAUACUGGCAGGCUUGAAUCCGGGAGAGGGAUGCGGAAUUCCAGGUGUAGCGGUGAAAUGCGUAGAUAUCUGGAGGAACACCGGUGGCGAAGGCGGCAUCCUGGACCGGCAUUGGCGCUGAGGCGCGAAAGCCAGGGGAGCAAACGGG
rnacentral:rRNA from 1 species